rnacentral:rRNA from 1 species
UACGUAGGGGGCUAGCGUUGUCCGGAAUCAUUGGGCGUAAAGAGCGUGUAGGCGGCCCGGUAAGUCCGCUGUGAAAGUCGGGGGCUCAACCCUCGAAUGCCGGUGGAUACUGUCGGGCUAGAGUGCGGAAGAGGCGAGUGGAAUUCCUGGUGUAGCGGUGAAAUGCGCAGAUAUCAGGAGGAACACCGGUGGCGAAGGCGGAUCUCUGGGCCAUUACUGACGCUGAGGAGCGAAAGCGUGGGGAGCGAACAGG